UGGGGAAUAUUGGGCAAUGGGGGAAACCCUGACCCAGCAACGCCGCGUGAAGGAAGAAGGUUUUCGGAUUGUAAACUUCUGUCCUCAGGGAAGAAACAAAUGACGGUACCUGAGGAGGAAGCCCCGGCUAACUACGUGCCAGCAGCCGCGGUAAUACGUAGGGGGCAAGCGUUGUCCGGAAUUACUGGGCGUAAAGGGAGCGUAGGCGGUUUGUUAAGUUGGAUGUGAAAUACCCGGGCUUAACCCGGGAGGUGCAUACAAAACUGGCAGACUUGAGUGUGGGAGAGGAAAGUGGAAUUCCUAGUGUAGCGGUGAAAUGCGUAGAUAUUAGGAGGAACACCAGUGGCGAAGGCGACUUUCUGGACCAUAACUGACGCUGAGGCUCGAAAGCGUGGGGAGCAAACAGG
rnacentral:rRNA from 2 species